rnacentral:lncRNA from 1 species
GGAGACAUGUUUACAUGUUCUCACCUCUCCCACCAUUUUUCAGGUAUCGCAGGCGUUGUGUAGUGGGACGAGACGUGAGGUACGUGUGUAGCGGUCGAUAGAGCUUCCGACCCAGGUUAUUUCGGUUUAGUUUCUUACCCUUCUUAUUUCGGUUGAUGUAUAGUUUAUUUGGUUCAUGUGGUUCAGUGUUUAUUUACAUUUGAAAAUGUGGAUUUCUGGAUUCUAUAAAAUAAAAGGUUUUCUACCCCUCGUGGUAGCGUUUUAAAAAGAUAAAAGUUCCUGUGUAGGGAACAGUUUUCAAAAGAUUUUCUGUAGAUUUUGUAUUUUAGUAUUUCAAAACCUGUUUCUGUGGUUGGAAAUAUUUUAACUGAUAGAUAUGGAUUUAUGUUUAAAUACGGAUUGUAUAAAUGAGAACCUGUGGUGAAUGAUGUAUGAAUAUAUAUCUGUUUGGUUAUUGGUAUGUUCUUUUGGUUGUGGUUGUAUCCUGUUUGUACUGUUGUACUUGUACGACGCCGUGCAAAUACAGGGGAGACUCUGUCCGUGUGAACAGUAAAUU